rnacentral:rRNA from 1 species
UACGUAGGGGCUAGCGUUAUCCGGAAUUACUGGGCGUAAAGGGUGCGUAGGUGGUUUCUUAAGUCAGAGGUGAAAGGCUACGGCUCAACCGUAGUAAGCCUUUGAAACUGGGAAACUUGAGUGCAGGAGAGGAGAGUGGAAUUCCUAGUGUAGCGGUGAAAUGCGUAGAUAUCGGGAGGAACACCAGUGGUGAAGACGGCUUUCUGGUCUGUUGCUUACGCUGAGGAGCGAAAGCCAGGGGAGCGAACCGGAUUAGAUACCCGGGUAGUCCCUGAGCGGGCUGGCAA